rnacentral:rRNA from 1 species
CCUACGGGGUGCUGCAGUGGGGAAUAUUGGACAAUGGGCGAAAGCCUGAUCCAGCCAUGCCGCGUGUGUGAAGAAGGCCUUCGGGUUGUAAAGCACUUUCAGUGGGGAAGAAAGCCUUGGGGCUAAUACCCUCGAGGAAGGACAUCACCCACAGAAGAAGCACCGGCUAACUCCGUGCCAGCAGCCGCGGUAAUACGGAGGGUGCGAGCGUUAAUCGGAAUUACUGGGCGUAAAGCGCGCGUAGGCGGUCUGAUAAGCCGGUUGUGAAAGCCCCGGGCUCAACCUGGGAACGGCAUCCGGAACUGUCAGGCUAGAGUGCAGGAGAGGAAGGUAGAAGUCCCGGUGUAGCGGUGAAAUGCGUAGGGAUCGGGAGGAAUACCAGUGGCGAAGGCGGCCUUCUGGACUGACACUGACGCUGAGGUGCGAAAGCGUGGGUAGCAAACAGGAUUAGAUACCCCAGUAGUC